CAGGGGGCAGACCAUGAUUAUGAAGGUGGUUUUCCUAGGGUGUGGGUCAUCCAUUGCACUUCGGGUGUGCUGACCCCUGCAACAGCAGCAAUCUUUGGAGUUGGUCUG
ensembl:snRNA U1 U1 spliceosomal RNA